rnacentral:rRNA from 1 species
AUACGUAGGGGGCGAGCGUUGUCCGGAAUGAUUGGGCGUAAAGGGCGCGUAGGCGGCGCGGUAAGUCUGGAGUGAAAGUCCUGCUUUCAAGGUGGGAAUUGCUUUGGAUACUGCCGCGCUUGAGUGCAGGAGAGGUUAUCGGAAUUCCCGGUGUAGCGGUGAAAUGCGUAGAGAUCGGGAGGAACACCAGUGGCGAAGGCGGGUAACUGGACUGCAACUGACGCUGAGGCGCGAAAGUGUGGGGAGCAAACAGGAUUAGAGACCCUGGUAGUCCACACUGUAAACGAUUAAUGCUAGGUGUAAGAGGUAUCGACCCCUUUUGUGCCGGAGUCAACACAAUAAGCAUUCCGCCUGGGGAGUACGGCCGCAAGGUUGAAACUCAAAUGAAUUGACGGGG